ACUCCUACGGGAGGCAGCAGUGGGGAAUAUUGGACAAUGGGGGAAGCCCUGAUCCAGCCAUGCCGCGUGUGUGAAGAAGGCCUUAUGGUUGUAAAGCACUUUAAGCGAGGAGGAGGCUACUAGUAUUAAUACUACUGGAUAGUGGACGUUACUCGCAGAAUAAGCACCGGCUAACUCUGUGCCAGCAGCCGCGGUAAUACAGAGGGUGCGAGCGUUAAUCGGAUUUACUGGGCGUAAAGCGUGCGUAGGCGGCCAUUUAAGUCAAAUGUGAAAUCCCCGAGCUUAACUUGGGAAUUGCAUUCGAUACUGGAUGGCUAGAGUAUGGGAGAGGAUGGUAGAAUUCCAGGUGUAGCGGUGAAAUGCGUAGAGAUCUGGAGGAAUACCGAUGGCGAAGGCAGCCAUCUGGCCUAAUACUGACGCUGAGGUACGAAAGCAUGGGGAGCAAACAGGAUUAGAUACCCUGGUAGCUCGAUGU
rnacentral:rRNA from 1 species